AUACAUCCCUGGCAAGGAGACACCUUGAUCACGAAGGAGGUUUUCCCAGGAUGAGGCUCAUCCAUUGCACUCUGGGUGUGCUGACCAGAGGCGGUUCAACCACCAGCCCAACUAGGCAGUUGCCUGUGGUGCCAUCUUCUUGGGGGCACCAU
rnacentral:snRNA from 1 species